rnacentral:lncRNA from 1 species
UGUGCUUCCCAGAGACCAACUUGAAUUCUGGGCAGUGUUUCAGAAGAGUGUUCAAUUUUCAAACCUUUUGCUAUGUUGUUUCUGGGGCUACAUGCAUGGACUUCUAAGAAGUUUUCUCAAGAUUUCAACAGCUCCUUUCUUUCAUUGGAAGGAGGAGUAACACCAUUUCUUUAUUGUAUGGCAGAGAUAGAAGAUAAGGCUCUGCCCACAGUCUCCAGGCUGCAGCAUCUGGUGAGGAAGGGAAGGUGUAUGGCUGCAUUGUUUUUCUCUUGGUGUUCAACUGGAAUAGAGCAGGAAAUUGCUUUGGAGAUGAGGAAACAAACUCUUAUGGAGACCUAAGAGACUGAAGACAUCUGGCGUGGACUACUCUGAUGGUAAAAUUGAAAGUACACCUAAAUUUGCUUUGUUACAGGAUUCUCUUCAGAGGACAAGAGAAGAUGUUACAUUCUCUGCAUGAGGACAAUUCUGCAGCAUCAAAAUCGAAUAAUAUUUGUUUUCUGGCAGCAGAAUUUUGUAUCAUAUUUCUAAAGACAGUAAGCACUUGGGUGGACGUCAAUGAAUACUAAACACUAAUUGAUCUGAUACAGCCGUAUGCACAUACACAGAUAUACAUGGUGGCUUGUAAUGGUUGAAAAAUUACGGUUUGGUUUUAUUAAAAGAUCUGUCACUUUUAGGUCAGAGUGGGAUUUUGGAGGGAUAGUCUCCCACAAUAGAAAACUACCCUGACAACAGUGGUGUUUUGAGGUUGUUUGUUGUUUGGCUUCUUGAUGAUGCUUAGCUAAGGAGACACUUCCUUUCAGAUUCUGUCUUCCAAACCCCAGGGCUCUGUUCUGGGCAGUUCAGCCUAAUGGAAUUAAGCCUGACAUGUUUCAACUCUAUUUCUUGAUAAAAUAAACAUAAAACAAUGGUUUAGAUUUCGAAUAAAACUCUUGAAGCAUGGGGUACUCUAACUUUCCCUGUUCUUUACACAUCUGUAAAUAAAGUGCAUAAAAGAGGAACACAACAGGAUAAAUCAACAUAAAUUUGAAAUCCACUGCAGCAUAUUAAAUGGCGCAGUCUCAGUCAAAGAGAGGCUGACCCCGCGGCUUCGUGCAGUUUGAAGCUAAUUGUUUUCGUCAGGAUGGGAACGUCUGGAAGUCCAUGGCUGUAUCCCACCAGUAAGGCUCCAGUAACUGAGCCGGCCCACAGAGAAUGGGCCCACUUUGUAGCGACACAGCGGGCUCAGACACCACCUAUUCUGCUCUCCAAACUGUCAUGCAUAACAACUUUAUUGUGCUAAAUUGAACUUGAAAGCAACCAAAGGCUAUGAGAAGGAGAGGCUAUGAGAAAAGCGUGCUGUCAGCGCCGGCAAAGGCUGACCUGGAAAGUAGGCUCAGAGACAGGGGAAUAAAAGACCAGGCCCCAUGAACACAGCAUAUUGUUUCAUUUUAAAGUAUGAUUCCCAUACCAGAGAAAGUAGCAAAUGUGAUGUAAAUUUAUUUAAAUAGAUUCGACCGCUUAAAAGUUUGCCAGCCGCUCUUAUCCAACUUUCCCAGCUCUCUGAUUCGUUACUUACAGUGGGAAUAUAAUGACAUAUAGUCAUCAUUGUAACAGCUUCUUUGCAGGGGCACAAUGAUGAUUAAUAGCCAGCAGCAAAUUUUCACAUGGGCUCUGAAGCACUAUGGCAUUAAGCAGCCAAACAGUCCCAAAUCCCCCUUUUCUGUUCCGCUGAAAAGUCCCCUCCUUGUACCUUCCAGAUAGGAACAAAGCCUAUCUUAAUUCCAAUCAGCUUUUCGUCAUUCAAAGGGACCUUCUCUUUUUCAUAAUUGAUUCAUGUGCAUUUUUUAGUGUUCCACUGAGCUGAAGCCACUUUUCUCCUUUCCUCUGUUCUGUCCCCACACCCACACCCCCUUUUUUUGAGGGGGUGAGGAGUGGGAAACAUUUCAACAACAACAACAACAGUAAAAAAUGGUGUGGUAGUUUCCCCCGCAAAUAUUUGCUAAAUAGAUUUCUCAAUUAGUAUUAGCUUUACACUUAAAAGUCUUAAAACAAAAAUUAACUCCUGGACUUCUUUUUUGUUGGAAGUGGUUUUGGUUAUAAAAAUAUGAGCUUACUGAAAUAGCUCUGGUGGCAGCCCCACAAUCAUGUUCUGUUUCACUGGGAGAGUUUGAGUAGCUUUCCUUCCCACCAGAGACUCACAGCUGGAGUGAGGAUGGAGUCUCUUGCUUCAGACAGAUUCUUUUUCCUCCUCUGUGCUGGUAGCCAUCAAAAAAAGAACAAGUGACCAAAAUGAAAGGCGGCAAAUGCACACCUCCUAACCCACUCUGUCCUUCUUAAGUAUCAUUUUUCCCCAUAGUAAUCGUACAUUAUAAUUAUUAGCAGAAGCUCCUGUGCUAUUUGUGGAAGUGCUCUCUCUCGUCUAUAGUUUUCACCUCCUGUGAUAACGACACAAACGACAUCAACCAGUGCUGUCUUGGAAAAAGAUUUCCAUCCGCAAAUUCAUUUGUGUUUCUAUGACAAUAUGAUGGCCAUAGAGCACAGUUUUAGUAGAUAUACUUUGCAUAUUUGUUUACAUUCCUUACAAAUCUGACCUCAUUUUUCUAUAUGAGUAGGGUGACCACACACCCCUGUUUUCUCAGGACUAGCUGUAUUUAUGCCUAUUGUCCUUACAUAAUUAUUAACAGUACUUCCUUUCACCCUCAAAAGUAUCCUGAUUUGAACAAUUUGAAAAACUCAUGACGUUUUGCCAUUAAAAUGGCCCCAAAUGACUUACACAAACCCAAAGGGUGGGCUGUCUCCUACCCAGGUGGCUGGGGACUGCUUUAUACCAUCCCAGUUUAGGGGAAAGAAUCAAACUUGGAAACCCUGCUGCCGAUGUAGCAGCACCGACUUUUGUCUCGCCCACUUUGAAGAGGUCAGUUGACCCUAUACAGCUUCUUUGAUAUGUGACAGAAAGGAGGUCAUUUGCUGAAAUGAAAGACACAUUACAAACCAGAUUUUAAGUGUGACUCUUUCCUUCAGCUGGGUCACAGUUCUUACUUUGAGCCAGAGCAACACACUUUACUGGUCAGAUAAAAAUACUCUGCCAUAUUUUAGAAUAAUGACCUUUCUUAUGCUUUGGUGUCUCCAAAUGGUUAAAUGGAGAAUAUAUCCAAUUGACAGGAGGAAUUCUGUUCAUCAUUUUUACUCUUGUGUUUAUAUCUUCUCAUAAAAAAAAAACAUGUGAAAAUGGCAUCAUGUAUCUCUAUUGUAUUUUUCAUUCAAAAAUCUCAAACAGGUGAGUGUAAUCCAGUCUUUAGGUUAUAGGACCAAAGACUCUCAAAGACUGUUACAAACCCCCGGACAGUGUCCCUAAGGGCUGGACUUUGCAUGUGGAUUACCGAGUUAACUGAGAGAUGUGUAAUAUCAUCUGUAGUCAGAAAACUCCCUACUCCCUAUAUGGAGCAACCAAGGACAUUCACAUGUGUUGCUUACUCUUGAAAGUAUAUGGGAUAAAUGGGCUCCUGAUAUGCUAGUUUCAGAAUAACUAUGGCAGGACCUUAAAAUUUCCCACUUUCCAUAAGAUCAUAGCUCAUAUUCAAUUACUGGCAGGAUAAACAUGUAAGAUUAUUAACUCUGCCUUACUAGUUCUUUUAGAGGAGCAUAGCCCCUUGAUGAAGGCAUUGUUCUAAGCCAAAUCUGGACCUAUCCAAUCUUUAUUCAUGCAUUUUAUCCGCUUUCUUAGAUCAUUCUUUCAGAAAUGAAAUGAGUGAGGUACAUGAAAUAUAUUUUCUGAUGCACUCUUUUUAAAAUAAAAUACUUUUUAUGGUUGUGCAUUUAUUUGUGAAGUGAAUGUUUAGAAAACUUUAAAACCAAUUCUACCAUUCUGUCCUUCUUUCAUGGUGAUAACCAACUGUUCUGUUUAAUAGGAUGAUGGAAUUGGUUACCACUAAAGUCCAGCCCUUAGAAAUUACUCUGUAUUUUUAGGCCCUAGACGUUUAUAAGUCUAUGAGAAUCUAACAAGGAGAAUUGGUUUCUCCUAACAAUUCUAUUAUCUUGUAGGUGGCUGUGUCCAUUCUUAAAACUUUUGGCUCAUCUUACCAGAUUUUUUACAAAGAUGCAGAUGUUCCUUAAAAGUGGCUGAAAGAUUAGGAGUUCCUUAAAAGUGGCUGAAAGAUUAGGGACUUUGUGCCUGAUGUGCUGGAAUAUGCCCGAGUUCUGUUAAAUCUGAUUUAACCAUAUUAAAUCAAAUCUUUUCUGAUGUAUUCUUAUGCCCUCAUUUUCAUGUAAUGUUACUACUAUGAAGAAGUGUAAUUAAGACUUUGAUAUGAGCCUUCACAGUCUAAAGAGUGCUUCAGUGACAACAGUUUUAUUAGAUUAUGGUGAUGGGCCUGGCUGUGAAAUUCCCACAUUCAUGAACGACUCUGCUUUUUACUGGCUAAAAACAGGAUUUUAAAAUGCAAUGACCUUUGGGACUCUCAGAUAAGUUGCCUCUUCAACCCUGAGGUUAUUUGAUGAAUUGCUGGGGACAUACAGAAGGAUGGAUUAAUGAAUGCUGUGCUCAUCUUGUCUACUGGCACCAUCUGAGGGACUGAAGAUCAGGGUGCCUCUUUAGACUUUGGCUUGAGAUUACAAUGUUACCCCCCUCUUUGCUCUAGUAACUCCAUCCUCUCCACUCCAUCACUCUCUAUUAUCUCUAGGAUGCCGUAAAGCACUUACAGUUAUUUUUCCUCACAGUGGAAAAUCUCUUUAUACAAACUAUAUAAACUGAGACCCACUGUCCUUAUACAAUCAGGGCCAACCUCUUUCCCACCAAAGACUAAUUCUGCCCGGAUGCCCAGGAUAGUUAUUUUACGUACAUACACUAUCCAUACCCUAAUCCCAAGCCAGGUAAAUAUAUAUGUAAUAUCCGAGGUGGAUGUUUUUAUUACAUGGUGCCUACAUUUAGAAGUAUAAAAUCUCUUAAUUGGUUCCCAUCCUGAUUUUUUUAUAAACUCAAGCUUUUCGGGUCUUUACUUUGAUUUUCCAUAUUUUUCUUUUCUCUUUGUACUUGCUAACAGAACUCUGGUUUCUUUUCAGAUACCAUGCAAAAAAUAGGCUCAGAUAAGGCACACGUAUGCCCAUGAGUCAUAAUUCAUCUAUCCCUUUCAUCAUAAUUCCAUUCUCCUUUGCCAGGGAUUGGUUUAGGGACGGGCAUGUGACUCAUUCACCAAAUGAACAUAAAAAGAAAUCUGUUGGGAUUGAUUUUCCUUUUGUAAAAAAUAAAAGAGACAAACUCAUGAGGAAAAUCUCAUGUUCCUCCAUGUUUUUAAAUCUUAUUUCAUGAGGAUGGGGGCUUGGAGUUGUGGCAACAAUAACAGAGAAGCCAAGAGAAUCCUAAAAAAGCUGACCCAGAGAUGUGACAUUUGUGAGAUGUUAAUUAACCACCUUGGAAACUGUCACUUCUAGACUUCUUGUCAUCUGAAAUAAUAAACCCCUAUUACUCAAGUCAUACCUUGUUGGGAAUUCUGUUACUUGCAACCCAAAGCACAGUAACUGAAUCCCUCACCUUCUCUUUUACCAGUUAUUUCUUAGUUCACGUAUCUUUUCUAGCUUCUCUCAGUCAACUUGAUAGGAUAAUAGAACUCAGACUAUUGCAGUUGGCGGCAUGUAGAGAUCACCUCAUUAAAUCAAAUUUGACAUACUUAAUUUACUGUAGAGGAAAUAAACCUGGGAAGCAACAAAAAUUAAUCUAAGGUCAUACAGGUAGUCUAGUCGCAACAGAAUUAGAGUAAAAUUCUGGUUUUCUGAAUUGCAGUCAAGUCUCUCUACAACAAUUUGGUCCAAUUUCCCCUAUUGCUCUGCACUCUCUCAAUCCAGCCACAGUUCAUUAAAGAUUGGCAUGCUGUACAUCUUAUAUAUGAAGUACAUAAUAUAGGCUGAGCUCAGUGGCUCACGCCUGUAAUCCCAGCACUUUGGGAGGCUGAGGUGGGUGGAUCACUUGAAGUCAGGAGUUUGAGACCAGCCUGACCAACAUGGUGAAACCUCAUCUCUACUAAAAAUAUAAAAAUUAGCUGGGCCUGGUGGCACAUGCCCUUAGUCCCAGCUACUCAGGAGGCUGAGACAGGGUAAUUGCUUGAACCCGGGAGGCAGAGCUGCAGUGAGCCGAGAUCGUGCCACUGCACUUCAGCCUGGGUGAACAGAGCGAGACUCCAUUUCAAAAAAGUAAAAGAAAAAAUUAAUAAAAAUAAAGUACAUAAGAUAAAUCACAUCUAUAAAAAAUAGUUAAAGCAUACAUCCAUACAUACACCCAAUUUGUCAAAGGAAUUUAGUUAUCAAAGGACAUUUUCAUGGACUCCUAGGAAGAUCACUAUGUCACAGUUUCCCUGGAACUAAGAUGUCUUUAUUUAAAUAUUAUUUGGUAAUCUCCACAUCAUUUUGUGUGUUUUGCAUAUUGAAUUUGUAAGGUCCUAAUUUCAGAUAUAUAAAAUAUAUACAAUGCACUGAGAUUAUAUUCAAAUCUGAUAUCUGGGAAAAAUGCACAAGAGAUGAGUUGUUCAAAUCUGUCCACAUCAUCCAUUCUAAAAUUUGGAGAUAUGAUGCUGAAUCCUAGGUCAGUUAACUAUACAUAGGUGUUGUGCAUACUUUCACAUUGUGGUGAGCAAUGAGGGAGAAGGGAUAGAUAAGAGAGCAAGAGAUGGGCUGCUCUUUAGCCCUUGCAUUUUGGGACCAGGCAGGUUCUGGGUCGUUUCUCAUUGCUCUUUGCUCACAGUCCCAGCAUAACACUGAUUUUUUUUUAAAAUGUGAGGUAUUAAUAUUUUGGGUAGCGAUUCCUCUUGAUGGCUAUUACAGUAAAUUCCAGCAGCCAGUAUAAUCAGCGCAAAGUGAGAUGGGCUGUUUAAUCAAUUAAAUUAAACAUAGUUUAAUGCGCAGAAGAGUUCAUUUUUUAAAUUUUUUUUUAAAAUUGUGGUAAGAUAUCCAUAACAUAUUGCUUACUAUUUUCAUUAUUUUUAAGUGUACAGUUCAGGGGCAUUAAGUACAUUCACAUUGUGCAACCAUCACCACCAUCCAUCCACAGAACUUUUUUCAUCUUGCAGAACUGAAACUCUGUACCCAUUAAACAAUAACUCUCCAUUAACCCCUCCCACCAGCCCCUGGUACCUACCAUUCUACUAUCUGUUUCUGUUAUACACUAUUUGUCCUUCUGUGACUGGCUUAUUUCACUUAGCAUAAAGUCUUCAAGCAUAUAUCAGAAUUUUCUUCCUUUUUAAUGCUGAAUAAUAUUUCAUUGUAUGUAUACACCCCAUUUUGUUUAUCUGUUCCUCCAUCAAUGGACACUUGAGUUGCUUCCACCUUUUGGUGAUUGAGAAUAAUGCUGCUGGGAGCAUGAGUGAUGUGGUCUGGUUCUGUGCCCCCACCCAAAUCUCAUCUUGCAUUGUAAUCUGAGUAUGUUGGGGGAGGUACCUCAUGGGAGGUGAUUAGAUCAUGGGGACAGUCCCCAUGCUGUUCUCAUGAUAGGGAGUGAGUUCUCAUGAGAUCUAAUGGUUUUACAAGGGUCUUUUCUGCCUUUGCUUGGCACUUCUCCAUCCUGCUGCCAUGUGAAGAAGGACAUGU